ensembl:lncRNA
GGUUCAUAUCUACAAGAGUAAAAUGUUAACAUCCAUUUCUUUCCUUUCUCUUUUCUCUCUUAUAGACAGUGGCGGGUCUCCCAGUACAAGCUCCUUAUCCAAAAGCCAAGACCUCUGGAUUCUGCUACAACUGCUCUAAACAAGGACACUUCGGCCAUGAGUGCAUGGUGAAGAGGAUGUUUAUGGGGACGUAUCCCACGCUGCCUUUUGUCUCCUACUAUGACCAGCGUAAGGAUCUAAGACGCCAGGAGAGCAGAGUGCAGAAACAAGUACAAGCGUUGCAGAAUGCCGGUCUGUUAGAGCCGUCAGAGGAAGCUGUAUAUACUCCCCAGCCCCCCCAAAAGAAACGGAAACACAAUCUCAAAAACACACUUUUCUCAUUCACGCCCAGCGGACUCCCCCCGAAGAAACGCAUCGCACACACCCCUAAACAUCCCCCAGCAACACCCAAAGUCAGUGCACAGACCCCGGCGAAGAACACCACACCCAGUCACCAACUAGAGGGGAAGAAGAAGAAGAAGAAGAAGAAGAACAAGAAGAAUGACGUGAGUGUAAUCGACGGGGACCAGGAAUUUCCUCGAGGGUUCCAGAAAAGCCUCCACAGCAGAGCAGCCAAAGGCAGCCCUGCUAUGCUCUUCAGCUCAGGGAAAGGCUUGGAGAAAAGCAAUAAGAAGAAAAACAAAUUAAAGAAGUGGACGAGAAAAGCAGCUAAUGACAAGAACCACGAAGCCUCGGAUGAAAACCUCUUUCUGAUCAAACAAAGGAAGCACAGCAGAUAGCCGUGUGCGGGAAGGAAGGAGAGUGUGAGGGUGCGUGUGUGCAGACAUGGAUGUGUGUCAAUCUCUGAAUCCGUCUGAUGAGGACCGUUGUUAGAAUGAGCUCUAGAAUUUGGCUCCCUCUGCUGGCCAAAGCCGAAAGUGCAGGCACAUUUUGUACAGCUUAAAGAAAUACGUGCUAACAUUGGAUGGACACCAGUACUCAAUUAACUUGAUUUGCAUAACGGUAUAUAACGGUAAUUCAGUUUCAUUCCCUUUUAACAACAUUAGCCACUGUUUUUCUGGAAGAAACCGAGUCUAACAUUACUGACGUUGCGCUGGUGCUGGUGCUCAUCAAUUAGCAUGAUUUCCAUGACGUUUUUAAGAGCUUUGUGAUUGUUUGCCAGUAUUAAGAAAACCCUGACCGGAUAUAUUAAUAAGCCACCGAUGAAAAACUCGUUUGUCCUGGUAAAAUCAGAUGCACAGGAAAUAACAUCCGCCAAGCCUACUGUCCAAAACCACACACUACAGUAAACACACGGACACGACGUAUUCUUAAUAGCUUUUAAUUACUAAAUCUCCGCUACUUCAUAGCUUCCAGCGAAUGUGAAGCAGAUUUUAUGAGUUUGUUUUUGUCAUUAUUUCUCCACUUGCCAAACGAACCGUUGAAGAUCAGAUUUGAGCAGAGGAAUAUUUCAUUUUUAAUCUUAUGCCAUUUCAGUUUGGAAGGACUGUUGGAAAACUGCAUUGCGCUGCUGAAGAUGCUGCUUGUGCAAACAAUUAUAGAAUGUUUGUAUUUAUAUUGUGUACAUGUCUGUGGUUCGGCUGCAGAGGCAAAUAAAGGCCGGUUUUUUUUUUUUUCAUAUCCUGCUCAUCGCUGUUUGAGUAACAGCGCCACAUCUGUCCAUACGUUGUAUUAAAUGUUUGUUUGCUAAUGUGACGUUUUGUUUUUUGACUUUCUUUAUAGUUACUGCAGCUUUGGUUAAUAUGAGCCAGUGAAGGAAGGAAACCACCUUCAAGCCAAACUGUUUCAGGAGGAGCACAAAAUCUAUUGCCUUUUUUUUUUUUCUUUCUUUUUCUCGUAGUUUGCUGGAUUCCACCCUGCAUGUUUGACAGCAACCUGCUCAUUUUCUGGACAUGCAGGCUGGGGGUGGGGCAGACUAAACUGACCAAUCAGAGGCCCUGAAGCAGCUGUACCCAUGUCCACUUUGUCUCUUCCGCCACCCUGCUGUUUUCUUUCACUGGUCUCCUGUCUAAACGCUUUCCUCCGUCAGUUUAUGCCCCUGUGGCCUUCAUGUUUUGGUCCAAAUCCUUAUACAGCCCUGAGAACUACCUGAAACUAGCCUGACUCACAGCGCCCAAGUCUGAAUGCAGCCCGAGCCCAACAAACAUUUUGUCCAAACUCAAC